AGAUUGAACGCUGGCGGAAUGCUUUACACAUGCAAGUCGAGCGGCAGCGCGGGGCAACCUGGCGGCGAGCGGCGAACGGGUGAGUAACACAUCGGAACAUGUCCAUUCGUGGGGGAUAGCCCGGCGAAAGCCGGAUUAAUACCGCAUACGCCCUACGGGGGAAAGCGGGGGACUUCGCAAGAGGCCUCGCGCGAAUGGGUUGGCCGAUGUCCGAUUAGCUAGUUGGUGGGGUAAAGGCUUACCAAGGCGAUGAUCGGUAGCUGGUCUGAGAGGAUGAUCAGCCACACUGGGACUGAGACACGGCCCAGACUCCUACGGGAGCAGCAGUGGGGAAUUUGGACAAGUGGGGGCAACCUG
rnacentral:rRNA from 1 species